rnacentral:lncRNA from 12 species
GGUUUGUGCUAGAACCAAUCAUUUUGAAUGGAAAACACAAAAUGUCUGGGGUUAAAACUAGUAAAGCGCCUGUAAUCUUCUUCAUUCAGCUCAGAUUUAGUCACAGGUCAUGUGAGUAAGUGUGGAUAAAGGGCACUGGGCGGACUUACUGACUUGUCAAUGGGUGACAGGUCAUUUUCUCAUGAGAAGAAGCAGCAGCAGAGGUUGAAAAGAGGGUCUUGAUCCAGAGCGGUGUUUAUACGUAAAUGCAUGCAGAUGCACAAAGAAGUCUUGAAGGUCGGGAGGUGGAAAACCUCUGCUCUGUUAUAUCUCAACAGAUGUGAGGAGCUCUUGAUGACAGGGAGAUGACGGUUGCAUGUGAGUCUUUCAAGUGGAAAUGGAGAAGAAGCACAAAUAAAGACAUCUGUAAUGCACACCGGUGUAUGAAAAGGAUGUUUUGAUCUCAAACAAAAACGUAAGAUUCUUCACUGACAUUUAUUUACAUGAAGGAUGGAGUCGGGUUUGUAUUAUGUAACGUCAAUAGCUAGUUCUUAAUCUCUUUUCUCCUUUCUUAAAGUCUUGACCUCAUAACCUCGAAAAGAGAUGGUAGCAGGCACA